GAGACUCUGUCUCAAAAAAAAAAAAAAAAAAGAAUCACAGCUUAUAAGUUACAUGUUAGUUUAGUAAUAUCUUGGCAAACACCACAAUGUAUCUGUGAUGUCCAAAUGCCAGAUUUUUUUUCUAAAUAAUUGCUUUGUGCUUUAUAUUAAGAAGUUUGAAACUAUGCACAUUUCACUGUCUCAUUUCUAGGGGGAAAAUGCAAGUAAUGAUAGUUUAUACAUUGAAAACAAGCAUUUCUGUAAUGUUACAUUUCUUCGAAGGUUUUUUCAUUUUAAUGGACACUUUAUUGGAAAUAUAUAACAUCACCAGGAAAUGGUUAUGAAGAACUUGAAAAGUGAAUCACUAUGUAAAUAUUAAAAUUAGAGGGGUUGUUUUAAUCCCUUUUUAAAAUAAUCCUAUUUUUCUCCUUUUUCUGACUUUGGAAAGAAGAGUGGGAAAGUAGAAGUUAAAAUUAACAGACUAAAAUGAGAAUUGUUUCCCAACAGAUGGAAGGUACUAUGAUACAGGUUUGCCUUUUGGUAUACCACUAUUUUCAGUUUAAAGAAAUGAGAAGAAUUUCCCCAUGGAGUAAAUGACUUCUUAUCCAUGAUGAUUAAAUGCCAUGUGACUUAAUCCAGUGGUAUUUUGUUUUGAAGCAUAUGUUGGUUUGUUAGCAGUUACCUUUAUAAGCAUUUUUCUUGACCCGAUAUUCCAUUUUGUUCCAUGAUGCCUUAGAGAUGAGCUCAUGCAGAAGUCUCCAUGAUAGCAGAUGACCUUCCCUAAUGUAAGGAAUUCCACAUUGUUCAGACCUGGAGUUUCUCUCUGUUCUUUCAGUGUAUCCUUGGGUACUUUGUAGUACACCAAGUGCUAUUUACUAUAGGCCUCUGAGAGAGAAUUAAUUUCAGAAGCUCAGGCUAGAGUCAUAGGUCUAGAGCCCCACUUUUUCCUUUUUGAAGAAAAGGGGACACGUUCUUAAAGAUAAUUAUUCUUUGCUGUUGGAUGGAUUUUCAUGAAAAAAAUUCAAGAAACAUUGUCUCAUGUGAUCUUACCAGAUAAGUGCCAAUUAUUAAGACUUGCUGGCUGCUGGAUUUAUCAUCUCAGGCUAAUUGUCUUCCUGAGAUAAAUGAAUCUUGCUUUUUCAUCAUUACCACUCUGGCAUAAUCUAAUGGAAAUACAAUAUGAACCACAUAGCUAAUUUAAAAUUUUCUUUUUUUAAGUUUGUUUUUUGAGACAGGAUCUCAUAUUGUUGUCCAGGCUGGAGUGCAGUGGUGCAAUUAUAGCUCACUGCGGCCUUGACCUCCUGGGCUCAAGCAUUCCUCCUGCAUCAGCCUCCCAAGUAGCUAGGACUAUAGGCUUACAUCAUCACGCUCAGCGAAUUUUUAAAAAUUUUUUUAGAGCUAGGGUCUCACUCUCUUGCCCAGGCUGGUCUUGACCUCCUGGCCUCAAGUGAUCCUCCUGCCUCAGCCUCUCAAAACUGUUGAGAUUAUAGAUGUGAGCUACCAUACCCAGCCUAAUUUAAACUUUUCUAGUAGCUACACUAAAAAUUAAAAAGAAGCAGGUGAG
rnacentral:lncRNA from 10 species